ACGAUCGAUAACUCGAGUCUCCCAUCUCUAGAUACGAUUACCAUCUCUACUACAUAGCAACGCACGUGAAGCGGCGUGGGAGCAACAAUUGGACUUUUAACAAAGGAAAAUGGAAAAGGACGUCAGCCAUGCAUACUGGCCAUCUGGAGGCGGCGUCAUCACCCUUCGUGGAGGCGUCAUUGGAGGAAGAGGCCGGCGUCAUCGUUGGAACUGGAGCUUGGCGUCGUGGAUCUGCAGCUUCUGGUGAAAUUCGGCAUGGCAUCGGCUGCGACUCGGCGUGGGGG
rnacentral:sRNA from 1 species